GGGGAUGUAGCUCAGCUGACAGAGUGUUUGCCUUGUGAACAAUUGUUUGCCGAGAGUUCAAUUCCCAGCACUCCA
rnacentral:tRNA from 1 species